UAGAUUUUAAGUUAUAUGAAAACUAAAAACCUUCAAAGUUUUAAAAAAGAGAAAUCUUAAAUCUAA
rnacentral:tRNA from 1 species